rnacentral:rRNA from 1 species
UACAUGCUUUUAAAGAUGGAUUUAGGUGAUUUACAAUAACUUAGCAAAUCGCAUAGUGAAAACAGGCGAUAAAUCAUUCAAGUUUCUGACCUAUCAGCUUUCGACGGUAUGGUAUUGGCUUACCGUGGCAGUGACGGUUAACGGGGGAUUAGGGUUCGAUUCCGGAGAGGGAGCCUGAGAAACGGCUACCACAUCUAAGGAAGGCAGCAGGCGCGCAAAUUACCCAAUUCUAACAGCAUAAGAGAGGAGUGACAAGAAAUAACAAUACAAGGCAGUUAAAAUGCUUUGUAAUUGGAAUGAUAGAAAUUUAAACACUUUUUAAAGUAUCAAUUGGAGGGCAAGUCUGGUGCCAGCAGCCGCGGUAAUUCCAGCUCCAAUAGCGUAUAUUAAAAUUGUUGCAGUUAAAAAGCUCGUAGUUGAAUUUCUGCUAAAAAUAACCGGUCUGCUUUUAAUAAAGGUGGUAUCUUGGUGUGUUUUUAGCAAUAAUGUCCUUUGAAAUGUUUUUUACUUCAUUGUAAUAAAUUAUUUUCAGGAUUUUUACUUUGAGAAAAUUAGAGUGUUUCUAGCAGGCUAACGCUUUGAAUACUGCAG